rnacentral:rRNA from 1 species
CCCGUAGGGGGCAAGCGUUGUCCGGAUUUAUUGGGCGUAAAGAGCGUGUAGGCGGCCAGACAGGUCCGUUGUGAAAACUCGAGGCUCAACCUCGAGAUGUCGAUGGAAACCGUCUGGCUAGAGUCCGGAAGAGGAGUGUGGAAUUCCUGGUGUAGCGGUGAAAUGCGCAGAUAUCAGGAAGAACACCUAUGGCGAAGGCAGCACUCUGGGACGGUACUGACGCUGAGACGCGAAAGCGUGGGGAGCGAACAGG